rnacentral:ncRNA from 2 species
UAAACUCCCACGCACUUUGGUGCUCGCGCGCGCAGUCCUGCGCACGCAGUUAAACGGGAAACAGGGUGUCCACUUUCAACAGACCGGACCAACCUGUGCUGCCCCCGCAACGGUAAGCGAAGGCAUCGCGCAAGCGGUGCAGAGCCGGCUUCAGUGCCUGCGCGCAAGAUCGCGCAGGCAUGCAACCACUGGGCGAGAAAUCACUCGUCUGGGAAGGGGAAGCGGCGCUUUCGCCAGCCCGGAUACCGGCCAGGGAAGAGGGUUGGCG